GGGGGUGUCACGGUUUCGACGGGGGUUUUGAAACGUUGGUUGCGUGCCGCCGGAGUCGAAGACGGCGUCAAAAACAUUCGGCAAUCUGUAAGUGCGAACGAUAGCACCUACGCUCUCGCGGCCUGAACAGCUGAUCUGAGAGCCGUCGAAGCGGAGAGCCUGUCAGAGCUCCCGUGGAGGCGUAACUGAUCUGACUAGCUGCCCUCAUCGCGACCCGGAGGAGCGGCGAAGACAAAGGGUCGAUAGCGGGACGGAAAGCC
rnacentral:tmRNA from 1 species